GGUAUGUAAGGGCAUAAGUAGGUUAGUUUAGUAUUAAUUCUAAGGCGAAAUAUGGAGUUUUAAUAUGUACUUUUUCUCCGUUUUCGACCUUAAUGCACUGGCAAUAAAAAUGUAAGUAUGAAUUUUCAUUACGGACACUUACAUUAGAUUUUUUUACUUUGUUUUUAUCAAUACUGAAAUGCCCGGUUGGGGGCCAACAGUUACAGAAAGCAUAACCUUAUAAAUGUUACUAAAUAGGUACAUUGGAACCACGAUAAUGCGAAAAAGAGCGAAGACGUUAACACGAAAUAUCCUAUAUUUCAUUUCCAUUAGGCAAUAUGAAAAAGAUCUUUAAUAUCUCUUGAAAUUAGUCUUAUAGUGGUUCCACUAUACUUGAUUUGAUACACCAUAUAGGUAAAUAAUAAAGAAUAACCAUGUCCACCAUAUACAGCACCGAUUUCCGAAUAAAAUCUUAUAGAUGGCGCUAAGUAACUCCAUUAUGUAGAUAAGCAGUCUGUAAUAUUUACUCGUCUCUGACUUUAUCUAUGAGUAGAAUUAAAUGAAUGCCCUUUUAAUACAUGAUUGAUAGUCGUUAUAGUAUUUGCUUAAUUGUAACUAAUUCUUCUGUAACUAUAACGGCGAUUUAGACAGUACAAUGUAACCUAGCUGUAGAUAUGUAACACAUGUUGGUUAGAAAUCUGUUCUGACAUUAAUAAAAAAAACUAUUAAACAAAUGGAAUAAAACAAAAAAAUAUUGUAAUAAGUGUUGAGUAUUAACGCUAAAUCGUUCAGUGUUUGGUGAGUACUUAAUGUUAAGAUAGAUAUGUAAAAAAGUUCGUUUACACUUAUCUUGUUAUUUUGUCUAAAACCAAAGGAAUAAUCGAUACCAAAGGUUGCCGAACUGAACUAAGAAAUGGUUAUUAAAAUCGAUCCUUACGCAAAAGCUUUUAAAGAUCAAUUUUGAAUAACACCACAGAAUAUAAAUGAGCAUUUCUUCGUUCCAUUUCUGGCUGUGCAAGGACCUAAGUACCUAUUAAGUUUUAUUUUUCCAUAGUCCUAACUUUGUAAUAAUUGUUGUGAGUGCACAUUUAAAUUUAAAUGUCGUUUGAUACAGACUGUAACAGAAAUCGCGUUAAUCUAAUACUUAAAGGCACAGCACGAAGAAAAAUUAUAUAUUCUGCGAAAUAUGCCUAACUGACGAUACUGAAAUUGGUAGGUAUAACAGUUUCAGAACAGUUUUUGACUAUUUUUGUAGGCCAUUGAACUAUGCGUCACAGCGAUAAACUUGAUAUAACGCCCGAUUAUUGUCUGACCCAAAUUGAUAAGCAAAGAUUGAUUAUCUAAUAGUCUGUAUAGAAAAGAAAUUUAUUUUCCCGAUACAUUUAUAAUGAUUCACGUACAGUAAUGUUAUGGCAAUUAUGGCACAGAAUAAAUAAUAUAUAGUACUAGCAGGGGUGCGAAGCUCCUGACUUCGGUCAAACUCGGCUCCGCUCGGCUCAGCAUUGCUCCGAGCAAUUAUUAGGGUUGGCACCACUUGACUUCCUUUUGCGUGCACGACCACAGAUAAGAUAAUCACUUGAUUUUUGACAACCCUAGAUAGCCGAAAGGGAUAGUGCCAUAUAUUAGAAAGGGACAGCAUGAUUCGACCCUGAACCGCUGUCAAACUUCGGUUUUGUAGGAAGUUUCCUUUCUGUACGGUAGUACUAUUAAUUAUUCUGUGGUACUAGGUACAGAAGACUCGCUCUCUAACAAAACGCGUCUGUCACGAUCAGCACAGAUAUGGCCGUUAGGUGGCGACAGCGCCACGCGCGGCUUAUUCAAUCCCCAAAAUUGGGGUCGAACGGAUGUACUUUUAGCUACCUGUAGCAAAACGACGAAAUCGCAGAGUGAGCCACGCCUGGUUAUGGCAAAGUCGAUCUAUUUCAUGGGCAUUGUAUCAAACGGUUAUUUACAGUUUAUAAUGUGCACCCUUCCAUUAUGUUAAAAUGUAAGUGUUCAGUAAUGUGCAUAUGAAAUAAAUGAAAAAAUAAAUUGGAAUGAUAGAUACUGUGA